ACUCCUUCCAAACGGCCAUCCCAGCAUGCUUCCAAGCAGGCUUCAUCCGUUCCUCUGAACCCUAAUCUCUUAGCACCUGCAACCUAUAAAAAGGAUUAUAUCUAGAGACCCUAUCCUCUAAAAUUUUUUCCGCACCCAAAACAAAAAAUCUCUGGGUCAAAAGUCUACAACGCUUAGGCUGGCAAUCACCAGAUCCUUGCCCAUGGUGUCCUCAAGUCUACUCUUACAGAAAUGGACAACAGUGGCCUGCAGGAGCCAAGAAGUCUGGAGCAGCCGAAAAACCACAAAGAAGUGAAACAGCCAGUUC
rnacentral:lncRNA from 1 species